GACGAACGCUGGCGGCGUGCUUAACACAUGCAAGUCGAACGAUGAAGCCCAGCUUGCUGGGUGGAUUAGUGGCGAACGGGUGAGUAACACGUGAGUAACCUGCCCUGGACUCUGGGAUAACCCCGAGAAAUCGGAGCUAAUACCGGAUAGGACCUUCCCUAGCAUGGGGGUUGGUGGAAAGUUUUUCGGUCUGGGAUGGACUCGCGGCCUAUCAGCUUGUUGGUGAGGUAAUGGCUCACCAAGGCGUCGACGGGUAGCCGGCCUGAGAGGGUGACCGGCCACACUGGGACUGAGACACGGCCCAGACUCCUACGGGAGGCAGCAGUGGGGAAUAUUGCACAAUGGGCGCAAGCCUGAUGCAGCAACGCCGCGUGCGGGAUGACGGCCCUCGGGUUGUAAACCGCUUUUGUCAGGGAAGAAGCCUUUCGGGGUGACGGUACCUGGAGAAAAAGGACCGGCUAACUACGUGCCAGCCGCCGCGGUAA
rnacentral:rRNA from 1 species